GAUGAACGCUGGCGGCGUGCCUAAUACAUGCAAGUCGAGCGAACGGACGAGAAGCUUGCUUCUCUGAUGUUAGCGGCGGACGGGUGAGUAACACGUGGAUAACCUACCUAUAAGACUGGGAUAACUUCGGGAAACCGGAGCUAAUACCGGAUAAUAUUUUGAACCGCAUGGUUCAAAAGUGAAAGACGGUCUUGCUGUCACUUAUAGAUGGAUCCGCGCUGCGUUAGCUAGUUGGUAAGGUAACGGCUUACCAAGGCAACGAUGCAUAGCCGACCUGAGAGGGUGAUCGGCCACACUGGAACUGAGACACGGUCCAGACUCCUACGGGAGGCAGCAGUAGGGAAUCUUCCGCAAUGGGCGAAAGCCUGACGGAGCAACGCCGCGUGAGUGAUGAAGGUCUUCGGAUCGUAAAACUCUGUUAUUAGGGAAGAACAUAUGUGUAAGUAACUGUGCACAUCUUGACGGUACCUAAUCAGAAAGCCACGGCUAACUACGUG
rnacentral:rRNA from 1 species